rnacentral:rRNA from 1 species
ACUGCUUGGGAAACUGAUAGUCUAGAGUGAGGGAGAGGCAGAUGGAAUUGGUGGUGUAGGGGUAAAAUCCGUAGAUAUCACCAAGAAUACCCAUUGCGAAGGCGAUCUGCUGGAACUCAACUGACGCUAAGGCGCGAAAGCGUGGGGAGCAAACAGGAUUAGAUACCCUGGUAGUCCACGCCCUAAACGAUGUACACUAGUUGUUGGGAUGCUAGUCAUCUCAGUAAUGCAGCUAACGCAUUAAGUGUACCGCCUGGGGAGUACGGUCGCAAGAUUAAAACUCAAAGGAAUAGACGGGGACCCGCACAAGCGGUGGAGCAUGUGGUUUAAUUCGAAGAUACGCGAAGAACCUUACCUGGGCUUGAUAUCCUAAGAACCUUAUAGAGAUAUGAGGGUGCUAGCUUGCUAGAACUUAGAGACAGGUGCUGCACGGCUGUCGUCAGCUCGUGUCGUGAGAUGUUGGGUUAAGUCCCGCAACGAGCGCAACCCACGUAUUUAGUUGCUAACGGUUCGGCCGAGCACUCUAAAUAGACUGCCUUCGUAAGGAGGAGGAAGGUGUGGACGACGUCAAGUCAUCAUGGCCCUUAUGCCCAGGGCGACACACGUGCUACAAUGGCAUAUACAAUGAGACGCAAUACCGCGAGGUGGAGCAAAUCUAUAAAAUAUGUCCCAGUUCGGAUUGUUCUCUGCAACUCGAGAGCAUGAAGCCGGAAUCGCUAGUAAUCGUAGAUCAGCCAUGCUACGGUGAAUACGUUCCCGGGUCUUGUACUCACCGCCCGUCACACCAUGGGAGUUGAUUUCACUCGAAGCCGGAAUACUAAACUA